UGGAGAGCAGAAAUCUCUUCCCAUUAGCACCACUUCGAGACACCCGCGUUCCCCGCCGGAAUCCAAUCCAUCCCGCUCACCUUCCGGAGGGGGCCUCGCACCGGCCUGCCGCGGCUUUCUCAUCUUUUCUAAGGGAGCGCUUGCAUACGACAGGAAGAGACUCAAAGGACAACAUCGAGAUCUCUCGUCGUCGUUCGUGCUUCUCAGAGUCUUCCAAUGUGGGAAUCUCCUCCUGGCUUACACAUACUUAGGACAAAUACUCCCCAAGACUUAAGGCAAGCUGUGCCAGGAAAACAUCUUUUCAAAGUUGUUUUUUUUCCGGGUUUCCUUUUCUCCCCUCUUGCUUCUUUCCCUUCAUUGAUGCUGUCACCUGUAAUAGCCUAGCCACACUCCUUUCUGUAUCUGCCACCAUUUCAUUCUACAAAAGAGAGCAUGGACAAACCUCUUGUUUCUCUCUGGCAAUAAAGGUCCAUAGACUUCCCUGAGGGCGUGCAGCUGCAUGCUAGAAGGUCUCUGAUAGGUCAGAGUGCAGCAGCCCACUGUCCUGCUUUGUCUGAGUCAGUUGGGUUCUCGUUUUGUUAGCUAUAGCUCAAAUCUGAAGUGAAAUAGUUAGAUUGGAACUAAGUGCCAAGAGGCAAGGUUAGUUUAGGAAGGUGAAUCACCAAUUUUGUAGGAAAUAGGAGACUAACAUAACACUUUAUACGUUCCACAAAACAUACACCCCCCAAAAUCCAAAUAAAAACAAGAACCCAAGAAAUUCUAAUUAUUUUACAUGAAAGCAUUGAAAACAAUGAAGUGAAAUGGUGAGUGCCUGGAAAAGUUGAAUUUUCUAGUUAAUUAGCUUGAUUUUUCCUGAAUCUGUACAGUUGCGUCCCUUGUAAUAUUGAGGACACACACUUUCCCGAAGCAUGGUUUAUUUUAUCUUCUUUUAUUUUAUAAGUAGAUUAUUCUCUCAUUCUGUUCCCUAACUGCAGCUGGGCUUGCAAAAAGAGCUCCUCUUCCAGAUGCAAAAUGCGGGGAGCUAUCCGUGGUGCUGACUCGGGUACUGCUGUUAGCCAGUGGUUAUUGAGGAAGCUAACCAAUGACAGUGGGCCUUCAAACUCAGUCAAGUGGCUGUUAAGUCACAUAGCCCGAUCUUAGUCACCAAAUGCCUAGAAAAAACACACGUUGCUAUUUUUGACACAUUUCUUAAACACCCUCCCUUUUUACUUAGCUUUUUAGGUAACUUCAAGUUCACAUUUUUUUCCCCAAAACAAGGACUCCAGGGAAAGAAGAAUAACCUACACAUUGUGUGGAUUGUAAGUUUUCCGUAUAACAUUUCAUUGCCUAUAAGGUUUCCUGACACAAUAAUACAACAGUAAGUUGUAACAAAGCAGCUUGACUGGCUAAUAAAUUUUAAAUGACUUUUAAACUCAGUCAAUGAAUACCGCUUUAAGGUAAUAACUAUCCCUAGCAUGUUUUGAAACUCAAAUGUUUCUCUACUAUAGGAAAAGAUGAACUGACAUGCAGGAGUUUGUUGUGCGAUGUUUCUUUUUGGACUGUGCUAUUGACUUUCAUGGGCUAUUGCAUUUGGAAACUCUGUAACUCCACUUUCUUCAAGAGGAAAAAUGGAUUCCUAAUUUCUAGAGUAUCUUCUCCUUAGCUACAACACUCAAAAUGUGGAAUUCGGGGCUGGGAGAUGGCUCAACUGUUGAAGAGCUUUCUGUACAUCAUGACAAUCUGAGUUCUCAAGACCAGGCUUGGGAUUCCCAUCUCCCACAGAGAAACAGACACACGUUCAGUAUCUUGGCGACCAUGUGUUAUUUAUUUCAGGAUUCCUAAUAUUGUGCAUGCCAUCUGUCAUAUAGUGGUGGCCAAUAAGUGUUGUUAUGAGAAAGAAGAAGAGAAAACACACAGGAUGAACAUAUGAAUGGACAGAGAGAAAAGAGAAGGGAAGGGUCAAUGGGAGAAAUGCAAUUGCAACAGGUGAGGCAGAGGAAGAAAAUAUAGGAGGAAAUAGUGGUAAAAAGAGAAGACUGUAAGAGGAGAGCAAGAAAAGUGAGUAGCAAGAGAGGAAGGGGCAACGAAAAGAACAAAAGGGAACAGGGAUGGGGAGAAUAAAAAAAACUGGAAGGAAUGGUGGAAAGAAAACAGAUUUUCCAGUUGCCAAUAAGAAUCUCAAAGUAAACACUGACCAUUUUCCUAUUCAGAUUGUUAUACAAAAUUGAUAUGCGCUUUAUAUUCUAACAGUGUUUAUAAAUGAUUUACUACAAAUAGCAUCCAUUUUAAUGACAUCAUAAAGAAGUAAAAACAUGUGUGCAGAGUAGCAUGCUCAUUGGCAAUGCAAAAUCAAUUCUAUAUUGAAAUUGUUAAAUAGGACUAUAUAUUUGCAAUUAAAUAGCUUCCCUUGACUAUCAAUCAAUGAUGAUCAUGCUUCAAGUGGUCAUAUGGAUGGUACCAUUAAAAGUCAGGGUUCAUAUAUGUAUGUACUGUGUAUGAGUUAAUGUUUGUUCUCAUUGCCAUUUCCUCCUCACAGUUUUCUAUGCUGACUUCGAAGGGAGCUUCCUGUUCACAGAGAGAGACAGACGUACACUGAUAUCAGAAUUAAGCAAUGCAACAUUGGCUUUCUCUUGAAAACUCAAGUUAUCUCAUUGGCUAUAGCACUGAAAAAUUAGCAAAGAGUGGAGAGAGAAAGUUCUUUUCCUGUGUGUGAUGACAGUAGAAAUGGUGAAAGGAACUGAGCCGCAGCGUGACUUCAUCUUUCUCUGCUCCCUGGUUGUGGAUACAGAGAUGUCGGCGGUUUCCAGCUUCUGCAACCUUGUGUGCUCUAUGAUGGUGGACAAAGCCUUCAGGUGGAGCUAAAAGCUGGAAACCACAAGUACUCCUCACAGCAAGCAGGCAGCUCAACAGGAUGGACAGUCACCCUUCCCAGAGGCUCAGUUGGUUUAACCCACCCUCUUCCAGGAUGUCUAAAGUAAAAUGUAUAAAAAGAGACCUGACUAAUAUACCACAUGCCUGUGUGGGUUAAAAUUCUAUAAUUCCUGGGAAUAGAGCAUUCACAGCACAGGAGUCACAUCUUUGGAGAUGCCAAAGGAAUUAUAUUCAGUUACACGGAGUUCAUCCUUGAAUACAUGCCCUAAAUACGCAUUAGAGAAAACGAUAAGUCUCCUACAAACAAGAAACCCACGUAGCACUUUACUCCAAGACUGCUUUGAUGGAAACAACCUCUUGAUAUCAUGAUGAGACUUCAAUGAGUAUCAAAUGACCUGUUCACACCUUCUCUGGCAGGUAGAGACACAGGGAAGGUGGCCAUCCUCAAAUCUGAGAGAGCCCUUCAGGAAACAGUGGUGUUGUUGGCAGCCUGAUCCACCUUCAUCUUCAAGAAAAGAAUAAAUAAUACCGAGGGUUUAUGGCAUAUUAUACUACAGUUUUUGGAGGUGCUGAGGUCAGUCCAUGUGUGGUAGGGUUGAUAUCUUUCCAAGAAGUUUCUUGAAAGACACUGAGUGGAGCUAUGAAGGUGAAGCCUAAAACUGCGAUGGAAUCUCCAGGAUGUCAUGGCUGUCAUAACCAUGGAAUACUCACAGAACAAGAAAGUGGCAUGAACUAGACCUAGUCUAUGAGUUAUGUUUACUAUAGGCAACAAAGAUGAGGAAUGGGACUACUCAAGUCCUUUGAGGCAGUCCAUCAUGGUCCCCAAUGCCCAGAAUGGAGCUGCAGUCUUUUUUCCCCUGCUGGAAUUUAUUUUUACUUUCAUGCAAACUUUUGUUGCUAUGCCCUACUCUCUGAAUUCCUCCAUUUUGAAGAGUGAGUAUUUAUUCUCUACCAUUGUAUAUUGUAAAUAUGCAACUUAUCUUUUUAUUGUACAGUAUCUUGCAGUUAAUUGAUCAUUUGAGUCUCAGAAGAAACUCUGAAACUGUACCUUUAAACAGUAUUGAAACUGGCAAAGACUAUGGGGACUUUUGUAGUUGGACUGGAUGCAUUUUUGCAUUAAGAAAUGGUUAUAAAUCUGUAGGGCUCUGGGGUAGUAGGUUCUGACAUAAAAGUGAUAUGUUUGAAUGUCAAGAUGAAAAGGAGCGAAACUGCUAUAGUCAAUCUUCUCAACUUGAUGUAGUUUAGAAUUACCUUGCAGAGAAGUGUCUCUGGGCAUGUCUAUGAGAAAGCUUCUAGAUUUAUUUAAUUGGAGUGAGAAAACUCACCAUAAAUGUGGUUGGUAUUAAACAGUUUAAGGUCUCAGACUGAGUGAAAAAGAGAAAGGAAGCUGAGCAACAACUUUUAUCUUUGCUUCCUAACUACAAAUAUAACAUAACAAGUUGAUGCCAUGCCUUCCAUAACAAAUGGUUUGUACACUAAAGCCAUAAGCAAAAAUAAACCCAUUCUUUCUUAUGCUGUUUUUGUUAGUAUGUCCUCACAAUGAUGAGAAAAGUAGCUAAUACCAUGGAGAAAUGACUCUUUCCUGCAUUUAUACAACUCAUAUACAGAUUGCUUUCUCAGAAGUGCAUGUGAAUUCAAUUUAGGCAUUUGAUAGGACUUCAUCCCUAGUCAUUUUUUUGCCCACUACAUAUUCACAUUUUCUUUUCUGCCAUUUCUUCUACUGACAACAUUUUCUUUACAAAUCUCUUCUUGCAUUCUAAUCAAUAUGCUUCCGAGGCAAAAUUACAUGCUAUUUUAGCAAAGAUGGAGAAACUAGGCAUUAAAUGGACUUUCUAAUCUGGA